rnacentral:rRNA from 1 species
UACGUAGGGCGCAAGCGUUGUCCGGAAUUAUUGGGCGUAAAGAGCUCGUAGGCGGUCCAUCGCGUCGGGAGUGAAAAGCUGGGGCUUAACCCCAGUCCUGCUUCCGAUACGGGUGGACUAGAGGUAGGCAGGGGAGAACGGAAUUCCUGGUGUAGCGGUGAAAUGCGCAGAUAUCAGGAGGAACACCGGUGGCGAAGGCGGUUCUCUGGGCCUUACCUGACGCUGAGGAGCGAAAGCAUGGGGAGCAAACAGG